rnacentral:lncRNA from 1 species
GAAGCAUCGUUCUCCCUGGCUGACUUCUCUUGCUGCCAGGGCUUCAAUGAUGGGAGCCGGCAGCAUGGAGGGAGAGGGGCAACCGCAGAUGUGGUAAACAUUCUGCAGCAGAGGUCUGAGGGCUCUUGCCAAGCUGGGGUGCAGCCCCCAUGGAGUGGGAAGUACAGGGUGGGAGAAGGGAGAAGGUCUAAGGUCCUUUAACCCUUCCCAGCCAGACUCAACACUGCUAUCUCAAGGAACCCUGAAGCACCAUUCUCAUGAGCCAUGACAGUGCUGGAGACCUUGGGGUCUCAGAGGACC